UUAAUGAAAUAUCAGUUUCCUUCUUGUUUAUUCUUGUUUUUUAUAUUUCUUGAAAUUUAUCUCUACUCUUCGUACUUGUGAUGUAAACUACAUAUUUUCAUUCAUAAGCUCGGAAUUAAUCUGAAGGUGCGAGCUCAGCUCGUGGCGGAUAGUCUGAGAGAACAAAUCUCGUACCUUUUUAAUGGCAACUAUCAUGUCAGUUUUUGGCUUUUAGUCCUU
rnacentral:lncRNA from 1 species